GACCGGCUGGUCUAACGGCAUGACGCUCCAUCAUUCAACGAAGUUCCGGAGUAGUGUGGGUUCGAAUCCUGCGCUGGUCG